GAUGACCUAGGGGCCGAUAACAGGCCCAUUGAAAAUCUGAUCACAAAAGUUGGUCACAUCUAAGAAUAAGAACAGUAAUUGAAAUACUAUGACAAGCGACUGACUGUAGCACUCUAAAGAUCUUUUGACCAAUGUGUGCAAGAUUCAAGACAGACUUCUCUCAUCAUUUCUUCAAACAACUUUAUCUGCUUUUCAUUUUGAAGUUGCAUCCAUGUACUGUGGCUGUAGUAUGGUGGUGCAGUGUGCUGGAUCUCAGCUGGACGUGACUGCUUUCUCCUGAGCCAGCAGGUUGGGGGGAAAGGUCGAGUGAUAGGUAUUGACAUGAUAGUGGAGCAGGUAAGGGGCAAGUUAAUGUUUACUGAACUUUAUAGUAGAAGUAUGAGGGUAGUAUUGCUGUUGUAGCAGUUUUCUACUCUGUACUCUGAGUCUUGUGAAAUCUGAAACCCUUUAUCUUAUUUAUUUAUUUAUUUAACAGCUUUGAUUCUCCUUAACAUAUGCAAAUGUCUGACUGACUAUUAGUUUAUCUUUAUGCCUUGUGAAAGACAAUAAGUUAUAAAAGUACCUGUAUGAAAAGAUAUACUGAAUAACCGCCAAUAUGUGUUAUGAAAGGAAGAUCCUGCCAAACAAAUUUUUUAAAUUUUUUGAACAAAUAGCUGACAAAAACAAAGCAUACAACAUAAUUUACGUAGACUUUCAAAAAUCGUUUCAUGCAGUCCUACACUAAAGAUUGAUUUUGACCCGUAAAAGUGGAUCUCAACUUGGUUAACUAACAGCAGACGAAGAGUACAAAUAAGAGGAGAGUGGAGUCAUCAGUGGAGUCCCUAAGGGGUCUCUGCUGGG